GGUUGUCAAGCACUGGAACAGGCUGCCCAGGGAAGUGGUGGUGUCACCAUCCCUGGAGGUAUUUAAAAGACGUGUAGAUGGGGCACUUAGGGACACAGUUUAGUGGUGGAUUUGGCAGUGUUAGGUUUAUGGCUGGACCUGAUGACCUUAAAGAUCUUUUCC